rnacentral:rRNA from 1 species
CCAAGGAUGGGUCUGCGGCCUAUCAGGUAGUAGUGGGUGUAAUGUACCUACUAGCCGACAACGGGUACGGGUUGUGAGAGCAAAAGCCCGGAGAUGGAUUCUGAGACAUGAAUCCAGGCCCUACGGGGCGCAGCAGGCGCAAAAACUUUACAAUGCGGGAAACCGUGAUAAGGGGACACCGAGUGCCAGCAUCAUAUGCUGGCUGUCCGGGUGUGUAAAAUACACCUGUUAGCAAGGGCCGGGCAAGACCGGUGCCAGCCGCCGCGGUAA